GGGUUGUGAGGUUAAGCGACUAAGCGUACACGGUGGAUGCCCUGGCAGUCAGAGGCGAUGAAGGGCGUGCUAAUCUGCGAUAAGCGCCGGUAAGGUGAUAUGAACCGUUAUAACCGGCGAUACCCGAAUGGGGAAACCCAGUGUGACUCGUCACACUAUCAUUAACUGAAUCCAUAGGUUAAUGAGGCGAACCGGGGGAACUGAAACAUCUAAGUACCCCGAGGAAAAGAAAUCAACCGAGAUUCCCCCAGUAGCGGCGAGCGAACGGGGAGGAGCCCAGAGCCUGAAUCAGCAUGUGUGUUAGUGGAAGCGUCUGGAAAGGCGCGCGAUACAGGGUGACAGCCCCGUACACAAAAGCGCAUGUGCUGUGAGCUCGAUGAGUAGGGCGGGACACGUGGUAUCCUGUCUGAAUAUGGGGGGACCAUCCUCCAAGGCUAAAUACUCCUGACUGACCGAUAGUGAACCAGUACCGUGAGGGAAAGGCGAAAAGAACCCCGGCGAGGGGAGUGAAAAAGAACCUGAAACCGUGUACGUACAAGCAGUGGGAGCACCCUUUGGGGUGUGACUGCGUACCUUUUGUAUAAUGGGUCAGCGACUUAUAUUCUGUAGCAAGGUUAACCGUAUAGGGGAGCCGGAGGGAAACCGAGUCUUAAUUGGGCGUUAAGUUGCAGGGUAUAGACCCGAAACCCGGUGAUCUAGCCAUGGGCAGGUUGAAGGUUGGGUAACACUAACUGGAGGACCGAACCGACUAAUGUUGAAAAAUUAGCGGAUGACCUGUGGCUGGGGGUGAAAGGCCAAUCAAACCGGGAGAUAGCUGGUUCUCCCCGAAAGCUAUUUAGGUAGCGCCUCGUGAAUUCAUCUCCGGGGGUAGAGCACUGUUUCGGCUAGGGGGCCAUCCCGGCUUACCAACCCGAUGCAAACUGCGAAUACCGGAGAAUGUUAUCACGGGAGACACACGGCGGGUGCUAACGUCCGUCGUGAAGAGGGAAACAACCCAGACCGCCAGCUAAGGUCCCAAAGUCAUGGUUAAGUGGGAAACGAUGUGGGAAGGCCCAGACAGCCAGGAUGUUGGCUUAGAAGCAGCCAUCAUUUAAAGAAAGCGUAAUAGCUCACUGGUCGAGUCGGCCUGCGCGGAAGAUGUAACGGGGCUAAACCAUGCACCGAAGCUGCGGCAGCGACGCUUAUGCGUUGUUGGGUAGGGGAGCGUUCUGUAAGCCUGUGAAGGUGGCCUGUGAGGGUUGCUGGAGGUAUCAGAAGUGCGAAUGCUGACAUAAGUAACGAUAAAGCGGGUGAAAAGCCCGCUCGCCGGAAGACCAAGGGUUCCUGUCCAACGUUAAUCGGGGCAGGGUGAGUCGACCCCUAAGGCGAGGCCGAAAGGCGUAGUCGAUGGGAAACGGGUUAAUAUUCCCGUACUUGGUGUUACUGCGAAGGGGGGACGGAGAAGGCUAUGUUGGCCGGGCGACGGUUGUCCCGGUUUAAGCGUGUAGGUGUGUGUUCCAGGUAAAUCCGGUUCACUUUAACACUGAGGCGUGAUGACGAGGCACUACGGUGCUGAAGUAACAAAUGCCCUGCUUCCAGGAAAAGCCUCUAAGCAUCAGGUAACAUCAAAUCGUACCCCAAACCGACACAGGUGGUCAGGUAGAGAAUACCAAGGCGCUUGAGAGAACUCGGGUGAAGGAACUAGGCAAAAUGGUGCCGUAACUUCGGGAGAAGGCACGCUGACACGUAGGUGAAGUGAUUUACUCACGGAGCUGAAGUCAGUCGAAGAUACCAGCUGGCUGCAACUGUUUAUUAAAAACACAGCACUGUGCAAACACGAAAGUGGACGUAUACGGUGUGACGCCUGCCCGGUGCCGGAAGGUUAAUUGAUGGGGUCAGCGCAAGCGAAGCUCCUGAUCGAAGCCCCGGUAAACGGCGGCCGUAACUAUAACGGUCCUAAGGUAGCGAAAUUCCUUGUCGGGUAAGUUCCGACCUGCACGAAUGGCGUAAUGAUGGCCAGGCUGUCUCCACCCGAGACUCAGUGAAAUUGAACUCGCUGUGAAGAUGCAGUGUACCCGCGGCAAGACGGAAAGACCCCGUGAACCUUUACUAUAGCUUGACACUGAACAUUGAGCCUUGAUGUGUAGGAUAGGUGGGAGGCUUUGAAGUGUGGACGCCAGUCUGCAUGGAGCCGACCUUGAAAUACCACCCUUUAAUGUUUGAUGUUCUAACGUGGACCCGUGAUCCGGGUUGCGGACAGUGUCUGGUGGGUAGUUUGACUGGGGCGGUCUCCUCCUAAAGAGUAACGGAGGAGCACGAAGGUUGGCUAAUCCUGGUCGGACAUCAGGAGGUUAGUGCAAUGGCAUAAGCCAGCUUGACUGCGAGCGUGACGGCGCGAGCAGGUGCGAAAGCAGGUCAUAGUGAUCCGGUGGUUCUGAAUGGAAGGGCCAUCGCUCAACGGAUAAAAGGUACUCCGGGGAUAACAGGCUGAUACCGCCCAAGAGUUCAUAUCGACGGCGGUGUUUGGCACCUCGAUGUCGGCUCAUCACAUCCUGGGGCUGAAGUAGGUCCCAAGGGUAUGGCUGUUCGCCAUUUAAAGUGGUACGCGAGCUGGGUUUAGAACGUCGUGAGACAGUUCGGUCCCUAUCUGCCGUGGGCGCUGGAGAACUGAGGGGGGCUGCUCCUAGUACGAGAGGACCGGAGUGGACGCAUCACUGGUGUUCGGGUUGUCAUGCCAAUGGCACUGCCCGGUAGCUAAAUGCGGAAGAGAUAAGUGCUGAAAGCAUCUAAGCACGAAACUUGCCCCGAGAUGAGUUCUCCCUGAGACUUUAAGUCUCCUGAAGGAACGUUGAAGACGACGACGUUGAUAGGCCGGGUGUGUAAGCGCAGCGAUGCGUUGAGCUAACCGGUACUAAUGAACCGUGAGGCUUAACCUUACAACGCCGAAG
rnacentral:rRNA from 1 species